rnacentral:rRNA from 1 species
GAUGAACGCUGGCGGCGUGCCUAAUACAUGCAAGUCGAGCGAACGGACGAGAAGCUUGCUUCUCUGAUGUUAGCGGCGGACGGGUGAGUAACACGUGGAUAACCUACCUAUAAGACUGGGAUAACUUCGGGAAACCGGAGCUAAUACCGGAUAAUAUUUUGAACCGCAUGGUUCAAAAGUGAAAGACGGUCUUGCUGUCACUUAUAGAUGGAUCCGCGCUGCAUUAGCUAGUUGGUAAGGUAACGGCUUACCAAGGCAACGAUGCAUAGCCGACCUGAGAGGGUGAUCGGCCACACUGGAACUGAGACACGGUCCAGACUCCUACGGGAGGCAGCAGUAGGGAAUCUUCCGCAGUGGGCGAAAGCCUGACGGAGCAACGCCGCGUGAGUGAUGAAGGUCUUCGGAUCGUAAAACUCUGUUAUUAGGGAAGAACAGAUGUGUAAGUAACUGUGCACAUCUUGACGGUACCUAAUCAGAAAGCCACGGCUAACUACGUG